CCUACGGGUGGCAGCAGUCGAGAAUCUUUCACAAUGGGCGAAACCCUGAUGGUGCGACGCCGCGUGGGGGAAUGAAGGUCUUCGGAUUGUAAACCCCUGUCAUGUGGGAGCAAAGUAAAAAGAUAGUACCACAAGAGGAAGAGACGGCUAACGCGGUGCCAGCAGCCGCGGUAAUACAGAGGUCUCAAGCGUUGUUCGGAAUCACUGGGCGUAAAGGGUGCGUAGGCUGUUUCGUAAGUCGUGUGUGAAAGGCGCGGGCUCAACCCGCGGACGGCACAUGAUACUGCGAGACUAGAGUGAGGGAGGAGGAACCGGAAUUCUCGGUGUAGCAGUGAAAUGCGUAGAUAUCGAGAGGAACACUCGUGGCGAAGGCGGGUUCCUGGACAUUAACUGACGCUGAGGCACGAAGGCCAGGGGAGCGAAAGGGAUUAGAUACCCGAGUAGUC
rnacentral:rRNA from 1 species